rnacentral:rRNA from 1 species
GAUGAGCGCUGGCGGCGUGCCUAAUACAUGCAAGUCGAGCGAACAGACGAGGAGCUUGCCCCUCUGACGUUAGCGGCGGACGGGUGAGUAACACGUGGAUAACCUACCUAUAAGACUGGGAUAACUUCGGGAAACCGGAGCUAAUACCGGAUAAUAUAUUGAACCGCAUGGUUCAAUAGUGAAAGACGGUUUUGCUGUCACUUAUAGAUGGAUCCGCGCCGCAUUAGCUAGUUGGUAAGGUAACGGCUUACCAAGGCGACGAUGCGUAGCCGACCUGAGAGGGUGAUCGGCCACACUGGAACUGAGACACGGUCCAGACUCCUACGGGAGGCAGCAGUAGGGAAUCUUCCGCAAUGGGCGAAAGCCUGACGGAGCAACGCCGCGUGAGUGAUGAAGGUCUUCGGAUCGUAAAACUCUGUUAUUAGGGAAGAACAAAUGUGUAAGUAACUAUGCACGUCUUGACGGUACCUAAUCAGAAAGCCACGGCUAACUACGUG